rnacentral:lncRNA from 1 species
GUCACCCUUUUGUGCCUUGCCCCAAGAGAGGAAGAAAAAAGAAGAGAAGAGAGGGGAGAUGAGGGCAUACCGUCGCCCAUCAUCGUCGUUCCUCUCCAAGAAUUGGUUGGAUUUCCUUUCCUCUCUCUUUUUUAUCCACUUGAUGAAUGCUUUCCCUUGUUUUGGAUGAGUUUUAGGCCCUGUAAUUAGUUUUUUUGGUUAGAUUGGAUGGGAGAUUAGAUUUUAAUCUCGAAAUUAGUUUCUGCAGAAUGGCAGAUUCAAUAGUUUCUGUUCAUGCCAGUUUUCCAUGGUCUUAGUGGCCUCAAAAAAAUAAAAAGUCUAUCUAUGAGUCGUAGAUAAUUUGUAGAUCUUUUCGUGGCCGCGAAGAACACCUCGAUCGGAUAUCAGAUCAGAAAGUUAUUGCAGUUUAAUUAUAGCAGUUUUUCAGUCUCAUAAUUCUGUACAGAAUCUGUUCUCUUAAGCUUUAGGCAAUUUUAUCAACAGAAUUAAACUUUAGGAUUGUAAAAGAAGUUGUAGACAAUUUCAUAAGCUUUCCAGAUUGUUAAAGAGGGCAUUCAUAUGAAUUAUGAAAGUCCAGUUAUGUUUGUUUUACUGUGGCUGUUCCUGUUUGCCUGACAAAAAAUGAGCGGGUCUGUUCACUGGUGGGUUUCAUAUAGUAAAUAGCCAAAUUGGCUGUUCCAACUAUGGAGACAUUUGUAGAGGGAUAAAAGUUCUUACUGCCAGCAGAAUUUCAUAAUUUUUGGUUGAGUAGUUUGGUAGAUAUUGAAUUUUGAAUUUAACUAUGCUGCUGUCUGAAACAGAUUCAGACAUUUAUCUUAUCAGAUGUUUUAGAACUUAUAGAUGGCAGAAUUUAAUUAUCCAUUGAAUACCGAAGUUAUAGAAUAUUUUGUGUAGACACUCAUAGAGUAUUUGUUUAAUAUCACCACUAUUAUAAUUUUAAAGAUACAAAAUUAACAAACAGCGCUGCUGCUGUUUGGCAUGUGGUUCAGGGUGGGAGUCUUUCCACCGGGAUUUGGUUUCAAGUGUACGAGCGAUUUGUUGAUUGUUAGCAAAUGUUUGUGAAAUAUUUGUACUAAUUUUUAUACCCGCUAGCAGGUGGCUACACUCUGGAUCAUGCCUAGUACAUCUUUCUUCUUCGAUGAAGGCAAGUGAAUGUAGCAGUGGUUGCUACCGUUUUGACUUGUUGUUUUUUUAUCGCCUACGCUCUAAUAUUCAGAAUUAUGGAAUUCUUUCAUAAUUGAACUCUAUGGUGAUGCUUUACUUGCUUGUAUUAUACUGAUGCUCAAUCAUAUAUUGAUGAUGAUUAUGGUUCGAGUAUGACCCAUGAGAUUAAUUUACACCUCUGAAGGCAGAUAAAGUAUUAUUUGAGAUUUGUAUUGUAUCUGAAGGUAGAUGAAGUAUUAUUUGAGGUUUGUUUUGUAUCUGAAGGAAGUGAAGUAUAUUGAUAAAUGCAGCAUGCCAUAUGCAUUACAUUAUUCAUUUGCAUCUGAAGUUUGGUCGUGACCUAUGGUCCGACCGUACCGGUACAACUUAGCAUCGUACGUUGCCCGAGGAGGGGUACGAUGCGGCUUCAUACCCUUAGAGGUAUGAAGGCAGAGGACAUAUGCGUUGCAUUUAUAUGCAUUCAUUGAAGUGAUAUUAGCAGAUGAUGUGGUUUUAUACUCUCAGAGGUAUGAGGGCAGAUGACCUACACAUUGCAUUCCUAUGCAUACAUUGAAGUGAUAUCUGCAGGUAUUGUUGACGCAGGGAAGGGUUAUACAACCUAUUGUGGUCGUUCGAGGAAAUGAGAUGGUAUUGGUUAUAUUGGGACUGUUGAGUUCUAUAUCUACAAGUAUUUCUGAUCUCAAUCGGGAUUCCUUUAAAAUGUUGUUUAAUUCAAUUUGUGGUUUAAAUAUCUCGUCAAAAUAAUUUGCUUGCCGAGAUGUAUCAUCUCACUCUUGCAUUACUCAAUGCAGGUAUUUGAUUCAUGUUGGGAAUGAGGGAAGUAGCAGCACGUCCACCUUCACUAUUAUAAUAACGUUGUCCAGUUGCAGCCAUGAUUUAAUUAGAAACUCGAUGUCAAAUGAUGUUUGUUUUUUUCUAGUCGUGUGCACUGGUUAAUUCAGUUCAUGUUGUUACGUUUAACUUUCCU